rnacentral:sRNA from 2 species
UCGCCCCGCAAGCGGGGAGAAGGUGCCGGCAGGCGGAUGAAGGGCAGGCGGACACUGAGAGUAUUGUUUGCCUC